rnacentral:rRNA from 1 species
AUUGUCAAGUCGGAUGUGAAAUCCCCGGGCUCAACCUGGGAACUGCUUCGAAACGGCUGGCGAGAGUCUUGUAGAGGGGGGUAGAAUUUCAGGUGUAGCGGUGAAAUGCGUAGAGAUCUGGAGGAAUACCGGUGGCGAAGGCGGCCCCCGGGAAAAAGACUGACGCUCAGGUGCGAAAGGGUGGGGAGCAAACAGGAUUAGAUACCCUGGUAGUCCACGCCGUAAACGAUGUCGACUUGGAGGUUGUGCCCUUGAGGCGUGGCUUCCGGAGCUAACGCGUUAAGUCGACCGCCUGGGGAGUACGGCCGCAAGGUUAAAACUCAAAUGAAUUGACGGGGGCCCGCACAAGCGGUGGAGCAUGUGGUUUAAUUCGAUGCAACGCGAAGAACCUUACCUACUCUUGACAUCCAGAGAACUUAGCAGAGAUGCUUUGGUGCCUUCGGGAACUUUGAGACAGGUGCUGCAUGGCUGUCGUCAGCUAGUGUUGUGAAAUGUUGGGUUAAGUCCUANACAGAUUAUAAUCCUGCCUCAGUAUAAAGCCUCGUGUGCAUGGAACACGAGCAUAACAGGAGCCUUAUAAAAUUGAUCAAGGUAGGGACUCCACCCUGUCAGCCGCACCGGUGCGUGUUCGGCUACGUAGCAAGUUGGUACGCACUGUUACAGAUCUGCGACAUCACACCAUUCAGCAGCCCUGGCAGGUGGAAUGUAGUUAGCCCGUCCUUGGCAAUGCUAUAAAAAAGCAUGGGCUGGGACUUGUAAUUUUAUGCUGCAUGCCAGACCGAAGGAGUUUGCCGUCUUUGGACACACUGGCCGUCAAACCAACGAGCCGGUUGCACAAGCGGGGGGUAGCCAAACGUUCGUGAUUUCUGCUGUCGCUCCGUGAUGCAGAAAGGAGAAGUUAUAAUC